rnacentral:misc_RNA from 1 species
AAGGCUUGACAUAUACCGCCCUUGCGGACCCCAUAUCUCUAUGAGUUUUCGGUAUAUGUCAAGCCUUGGUAAGGUUCUUCGCGUUGCGUCGAAUUAAGCCACAUGCUCCGCCGCUUGUGCGGGCCCCCGUCAAUUCCUUUGAGUUUUAGCCUUGCGGCCGUACUCCCCAGGCGGGGCGCUUAAUGCGUUAGCUGCGGCACGGAGAACGUGGAAGGUUCCCCACACCUAGCGCCCAACGUUUACGGCGUGGACUAC